CCCCAACCCGGAAGCGGCGGGGGGGGAGCCGGCGGGGAGUUUGAGCCCCGUCCUGUCACGGGCUGCCGCUCGCCGGUUUUGUCUGCUUUUGGCAGUAAAUUUCUGGUGAUGUGAAGGAACUGUGGAGCUGUCUUAAAAUGCUCUUAGGUGACCUUGCCCCAGCUCUUCUUGCCACAUCUGCUCCUGCCCCAUUGCCAUACUGCCAGUUUAGGAGGGAACAUGGCCUGCAUAGAACUAUCAAGUUAAAAGCAAAGUUAAAGACAAGAAGUUUGGAAGCAGAACAUCAAAGAGCAAUGGAGAAUGCACCCUUGAGAUUCUAAAACUGAUAAUGAAAAUGUGGUAUCAGUGUAUGUCCAAGGUGUGCUACAAUAUAUCAAAUGUAUUUUGAAGCACGAUUUGUAUAUUCUAUGUAUCACCCUUUUGCUUCAUUCUGGAAAGAGGAAAACAUUAUCCUGUAAAGUAUCAUCUAUGAAGGCAAGAGGGCUGUGUAAUGCAUUAGGAAACUGAAAUGUUAAUAAAUAUAUAUUUAUACACAAGCA